rnacentral:rRNA from 1 species
UACAGGGGGUGCUAGCGUUGUUCGGAAUUACUGGGCGUAAAGGGCGCGUAGGCGGCUUAACAAGUCAGGUGUGAAAUCUCGGGGCUUAACUCCGAAAGUGCAUUUGAAACUGUUAGGCUAGAGUGCAGUAGAGGUUGGUGGAAUUCCCAGUGUAGAGGUGAAAUUCGUAGAUAUUGGGAGGAACACCGGUGGCGAAGGCGGCUACCUGGACAAUUGCUGACGCUCAGGCACGAAAGCGUGGGGAGCAAAAGGG